GCCCCGCGAGGCCCGCGGACCCCCCCGUGGGGGGGCAGGCGGCCCCCAUGUUCGCCACCCUGGUGCCGCUGCUGGCACGGGGCCUGGCGUCGUGGGGGUGCAGACCGUGCGCGCGUCUGCGGCCGGCGUCAGCUGGGCCCGCUGGGGCGCAGCCGAGGCAGCGGGGGCUGGGGCGGGGGAUGGCCUGCAAGCCGCCCGCAAACACCUGCAGCGCCCCGGCCCCACCGUCGUUCACGGUCGUGCCGUGCUCGUGCUGUGACGAGGAGCGCGUCAUGGAGUUCAUGCAAAGGACUUUCUACCGCGAGGAGCCCGUCCUGGUGGCAGCGGGGCUUGCCGAGUGCCCGCCGCAGGUGCUGCUGGACCACACGCGGGCCUCCUUCCGGGAGGGGCUGUCCCUGAUGGCCGUGCUGCAGGGCAGUGCCGGCGGCCAGGGCGACAUCUGCGGGGUGGCCGUCAACAGCAUCGUGGCGCCCGGGGACGCCUGCAAGCUGCGGCAGCAGGCCGAACAGGCCGACUGCCCGGCCACGCGCCGCGUGCUGGAGCUGUGGUCCUUGAUGCUGGAGCGUCCAGAGAUCUGGAGCGGCCAGGACCCGGAGGGCUGCUGCAUGCUGGAGUUGCGGGAGCUGGCCACGGACCAGGCGGUGCGCGGCCUCGGGGUGGGGCUGCAGCUCGCCCUGGCCGCGAGGGAGGUGGCCGCCGACGUCGGAGCGCCCGCGUACAAGAUAGACUGCACCAGUCAGUACAGUGGCAAAAUUGCGGAAAAGCUCGGGAUGAAGAAGGUGUUCUCGUUGAAGUACGCUGACUUUCUUGACUCCGACGGCAAACCCCUGUUCCAGCCACCGUGUCCGCACGUGGAGGCCGCGGUCUACGUUCAGAGCAUGUCGAAGGAUUGUCAGCAUAAGUUUGGAGGCGAACUGUAAGCGACAACUUUGUAGAACGAUGAGGCAGCAGCGCUCAUCGCCCAGGAGCAAGACCAUCACCAGGAUCUCACAAAAACACCUUCGCCUCGAGAUUUGGGACGCCGAUGGAUCUAGGGCCUGGAGCCACGGGUCGCAGCACACCCACCGGUGCCUUGGGGCGCGCUUGGGAGUCGCCGGGACAUUUGACUGUCGCCUCCUUGCGUAACGCGGCGCUUGUCCGAAUGGUCUGUUGGCCCCAUGACUUAACCAAUCGACGACCAAUUAUAUUCCGGCUGGGCAGUUCCGCCUGCAGGCGUGUGGUCUUUUCCACCCACGCCGCCGAGUCGCUUCUCUUCCAUGAUCGGCACAUUUACGGAGUGGCGCGCGUCCUCCAGUCAUCGCCUGGAGGCUGACGGCCGAGUCAGUUCCCCGUGGAAAGGGCCACGCCCCACGCCAUUGUAGAAUUAGUUCCUCUCGACGUCUUCCGAUUUUUCCGCAGCGGCGUUUGCGUCGGCAGCGGCAGGCAGGGGUGGGUGUGACUUGUCCCGCAGCGCCGCGGCGCCCGCGUGCGUGGGUCAGGGUGUGGUGGACUUCCCUCACUGGGAUUGCCCGCAUCAGCGGGAAAUCCUCAGCCAGCCAUACGCAUGGCGCCCCAUCUCUGUGCACGCUGAAAAUUGUUCCUU